UCUUAUGGAUGAUUGAAGAAAGUGGUUUAUUAAGAUGGAAUCUACUCCUGGUGAAGAUGCUGUGAA
rnacentral:pre_miRNA from 1 species